UACAGAGGUCUCAAGCGUUGUUCGGAUUUACUGGGCGUAAAGGGUGUGUAGGAGGUUUUUUAAGUCGAAUGUGAAAUCCCACAGCCUAACUGUGGAACUGCAUUCGAUACUGAAGAGCUGGAGGGUCGGAGAGGUUGCUGGAAUUCUCGGUGUAGCGGUGAAAUGCGUAGAGAUCGAGAGGAACACCAAUGGCGUAAGCAAGCAGCUGGAAGAACCCUGACUCUGAGGCACGAAAGCUAGGGGAGCAAACGGG
rnacentral:rRNA from 1 species